GACGAACGCUGGCGGCGUGCUUAACACAUGCAAGUCGAACGGUAAGGCCCCUUUUUUUGGGGUGUACGAGUGGCGAACGGGUGAGUAACACGUGAGUAACCUGCCCCAGACUUUGGGAUAACAGUUGGAAACGAUUGCUAAUACUGGAUAUGAGCUGCUGCCGCAUGGUGGUGGUUUGAAAGUUCCGGCGGUUUGGGAUGGGCUCGCGGCCUAUCAGCUUGUUGGUGAGGUGAUGGCUUACCGAGGCUUCGACGGGUAGCCGGCCUGAGAGGGCGACCGGCCACAUUGGGACUGAGAUACGGCCCAAACUCCUACGGGAGGCAGCAGUGGGGAAUAUUGCACAAUGGACGGAAGUCUGAUGCAGCAACGCCGCGUGCGGGAUGACGGCCUUCGGGUUGUAAACCGCUUUCAUCCAUGACGAAGCUUUUGUGACGGUAGUGGGUAAAAAGCACCGGCUAUC
rnacentral:rRNA from 1 species